rnacentral:rRNA from 1 species
GACGAACGCUGGCGGCGUGCUUAACACAUGCAAGUCGAACGGAAAGGCCCUGCUUGCCGGGUACUCGAGUGGCGAACGGGUGAGUAACACGUGGGUGAUCUGCCCUGCACUUCGGGAUAAGCCUGGGAAACUGGGUCUAAUACCGGAUAGGAGCCAUUUUUAGUGUGAUGGUUGGAAAGUUUUUUCGGUGUAGGAUGAGCUCGCGGCCUAUCAGCUUGUUGGUGGGGUAAUGGCCUACCAAGGCGGCGACGGGUAGCCGGCCUGAGAGGGUGGACGGCCACAUUGGGACUGAGAUACGGCCCAGACUCCUACGGGAGGCAGCAGUGGGGAAUAUUGCACAAUGGGCGCAAGCCUGAUGCAGCGACGCCGCGUGGGGGAUGACGGCCUUCGGGUUGUAAACUCAUUUCGCUAGGGACGAAGCUUUUUGUGACGGUACCUAGAUAAGAAGCACCGGCUAACUACGUG